AAUAGAAGUGCAAACCUUCUUAUUUACC
rnacentral:tRNA from 1 species